AGGAAAAAGAGGAAAUUGCAGAAUUUUUAGCAUUAAGUUGGAUGCAUGUUCUUAGCUUAGGACUUGAAUUUUAUUUUAGAGCUCUUCUUUAGCUUUCCGGAACAUCUUGAAUCGUCCCAAUCGGAGUUCAUAUGAAAAAGUUAUGACAUUUUUACUAAACGGACGUUGAACCUCAAAGUUUGGAAGUUGCAAUUUACACAGCAGUCACUUGGAGUCCGAUUUUGACCUUGAUACAGAGCGAUUCUGUCGAUUCUCAAAGAAUGAAAGUUGUAGAUCUCGUCGAUAUCUUCGUUUUGAUAGGUAGCAGGCCCCGUAACUCCUCCUGGAUCAAACGUUAUGCUCGUAUUACCAAAGGACGUCGUACCAGGAAAUGAAAAUUCGCCCCCGCGAAUUUGAGCGGGAAAAUCAGGAAAUCUUGGAUUUUUGGAAAGUUUCUAAAUGCAGAUUUUGGUAGACUUCUACAUGGAAUUGGAUUGAUAUUUCUAUUAGCUUUAGGAUUUCCU
rnacentral:lncRNA from 1 species